UAUGAGAACUUUUAUAGAUAUCUGUGUGGACUGGAUUCAUUUACACUGAUAAUAGACCAUAAAUUACUUGUAACCCUCAUCAACGGAAAAGACCUGGAUCAAGCACCACUGAGAUGCCAACAUCUAUUGCUAAGGUUAAUGUGAUUUAACCCAAUUGCUAAACAUCUUCCUGGGGAAAAUCUGGUAGUAGCAGACCCUCUGUCAAGAAGCUCUGCAUUUGUACUCAACUACCCAUGAGUACAAAGAUGAUGUAAAGGCAGGGAAUCGAACUGAACUCGAACCUGAACCCGGAAAACAGUUCAGAUAAGUUUUUUGAGUGAACCGGAACUGAAACUGACCUGAAAAUUCCCACUCACAUUGAACCUAAGCUGACACCAACAAUCCCCCCAAAACACCCAAAAAACCUGGUAUCUGGUUCAAAAUAACAGGGUUCAAUAAUCAGGUCCUGGGGAAGGGUCUUUUGGGGGUGCUGAGGAAGGGUCUCUCUCUGCUCGAAACCUAGAGAGAGAGGGGCAGAGACUAUACUUCUCAGGAUGCUAUUGCAGGAGAUGCAAAGAGAGGGAGGAGGGGGAGAGAGGGGUUCUGGGAUUGAUAGUCCUUCUGUCUGUUAUGUCCAGGUAGAGAUCUGCCAUGGAAGGGAAUUAAAACUCCCAGAACACCUCCCUUCCCUCUCCAUCUCCUCCCUCUCCCCACGUUCUGCUGAGUGCUUGUUCCUGCUACUCCCUGCAUAAAUGUGUACGUGGAUGCUGUGGACACAUACAGACCUGUGUCAGGAAAGACUACCUCAUCUACAAAAAGUAAUCUCGACAGACACGUAACUUCAGGAAGCUCUAAGUUACAUUUGGGGUGGCUGGCCCAAGUAUCCAAAGGACACUGUCGAAGUGACAAGAAACUAUUUUUCAGUGAACAAUUAAGUGAGUCAAAUGGACAAUUAACUGAGUCAAAUGAUUGAAUGUUCUUAAUGGCAUCAUAAUUGCAAACAAAAUGAGAUGAAAAAUCCUAAACCUCAUCCAUGAAGGUUCAAGAAUUAACUAAAUGCCAUGAAUGAGCCAACCAGUUAGUGUGGUGGCCAGGCAUCAGCAAGGACAUAAAGACCAAAGUAUCUGCACAUGAACACUGCAGAACUAAUAGACCAACACAACACAAGGAACCUUUACUAACAACACAUCUACCAGACAGACCAUGGCAGAGACUAGCUGUAGAUUUAUGCGAAUUCAGAGGACAUCAUUACCUGAUCAUCAUGGACUGUUUUUCCUGGAAUAUUGAAAUAAUGUUAGUGUUAUUGAGAAACUGAAGUGCGCUUUUGUUCACUUUGGUAUUCCAGAACAACUAGUGAUGGACAAUGGACUGCAAUUCACUGCAGCAGAAUUUAAAUAAUUCCUAACGAAAUAUGAUUUUGAUCAUAUUACUAGCAGCCCACAUUACCCACAAGUGAAUGGAGAGGCCGAGAGAGCUGUACAGACAGCCAAGAAAAUCCUACAGCAGGAAGAUCCAUUUAUUGCUCUUAUGUGUUACAGAUCAACACCAAUAGCAGCUAUUGGAUAUAGUCCAGCCCAACCCCUGAUACAAAGACAACACAGGACUACUGUUUCAACUUUGGAAAAGAACCUAUUUUCAAAGUGGCCAGACCUGAAGAGAGUAGGCAGAUCAGAUAAAAAAAGGUUAUAAGAGCUUAUGAACCCUUUUUCAAUGGACAUCACCCAGUUAGAGAACUGCCAGGUCUAAAAACUGGUGACCAUGUUCAUGUCAAAUUCAAUGGAGAGAAAGGGUAGACAACUCCAGCUCUCAUGAAGAAAAAGAAUUCAGCAACCAGAUUAUAUGUGAUCAAGACCAAUAGUGAAGAGUUCAACAGAAACUGUCAACAUCUACAGUUUGUUCCUAUGAAAGAACAAUCCACAGAACAAACUCUACAGAUGGCAGGUGCCGAACAAGAAGAGGACAACUCAGGGAUUCCAAACUGGCCUUGGUCAGUUGCUGCAACUAAUGGACAGCCAGAUGACCAAGUUGUUACGCAUUCGGAUCAUGUAAUUAAAUAACCAGUAUGAUUCAGACUGAUACAUACUGAACUUCAAAGACAGCAUAAUACUGUAAAUGCCGAAAAAGCAGUGGAUGGAUUAUAUCAAAGAAGAUUGUCAUAAGGUAGAUCUUGGUGCUGCCUCAGACAGAAAAAGAUGGCAGAUACUCGCAUGACAGCCUGACCCCAUAUGAUGGGAUUAGGAGAAGACAAAGGAGAUAUUCAUGAAAAAACAAUUCUGAAAAAAAAAUCUAUUCACUUUUCUCUUAAAGUGUACAGAUCAUUCUAACAGCUGGAAUUGAAGGACCUCUGUCUCGUUCUUUCCACAGGCUGGAUAUGCACUACAGACAGAUCAGGAUUGUGUAGUGAAAGGAGGCUGUUGUCCAUAGAACCCCUGCCUCAUUUGUUACACAAGUUGGAAGGUGUGUACCUUCUGUGGUUGCCAGGAAGCAGAGGGCCUAAGGCCACCCAAAGCUAAAAGCGCUCCCUACUCAACGAAGGGGGAAGGGCCACUGAACCCAGACCACAAAUAAAUAAUGGAGACAACAAAUAAAAUAGAGAGGGACAUGAGUGAAUUUUAAAGAUUAAAAAUCAGGGAAUCAGAAGGGGAUGCUGAGCAGAGAACUCCCAACUGUGCCCACUCCUCCUUAAAGGCACUGACUAGAGCAGGGAUCGGCAACCUCUCAGAAGUGCUGUGCCGAUUCUUCAUUUAUGCACUCUGAUUUAAGGUUUCGCGUGCCAGUAUUACAUUUUAAUGUUUUUAGAAGGUCUCUUUCUAUAAGUCUAUAAUAUAUAACUAAACUAUUGUUGUAUGUAAAGUAAAUAAGGUUUUAAAACUCUUUCAUUUGCUAAACAUCACCAGAAGUCCUAAUUCUUCUUGUUCCACUAAUCAUUUAUAUAUUUCAACACACUACAUGUACAGUGAUGUGCAAACUUUCUGUGGAAUUCAGGAACUCUGUAUGUAAUUUGUUUUCUUCAGUUUUGCCUUGUUUUGUAGAUUGACUUGAAACAUUUUAUUAUUAGAAAGCAUUCAUGUAGCACCCAGAUAUGCAAUUAAUAAUAAUAAUCCCUAGUUUUUCCAUCUGUAGGUCAUCUCUAAGCAUUAUAAUCCCCAUUUUAACAGAUGGGGAAACUGAGGAUCAGGGAGUUGAAAGGACUUGCCUGAGGUCAGCCAGUGGCAAGCACAAAUAGGGAGGCUGUAAAACAGCAAGAACAUUUUAAAUGAAAGUCCUCCCCAGAAAAUUUUGAAACUUCAAGUGCAAUUUCAUGCAUUUUAGAGCAAGAUUAUACUAAUAAUGCCAAUUGAUGGAGAUAGCCUAUCUCCUCAAACUGGAAGGGACCUUGGUCAUCAAGUCCAGCCCCCUGUCUUCACUAGCAGGACCAAGUACUGAUUUUGCCCCAGGUCCUUAAGUGGCCCCCUCAAGCAUUGAACUCACAACCCUGUGUUUAAGCAGGCCAGUGCUCAAACCACUGAGCUAUCUCUCCUCCACCCCCAAAUGCAAACCAAAACAAGGAAUACCUCCAGGCAAGUAAACAAUCCUAACAUUUAUUUGGAUUUCUAAAAUAAACUGUCAGUGAAGAAUUAAGUCCUAAUAACAGGACAAACCCUUUUGAAAAUCACACUCUUAAUUUUUUUUUAUUAAUUAUUGUUACAAUUGUUUUUGGACCUGUAAAAAGAUUAGAAACAUAUCUACUUUUGCUGUCUGUUGUGUGCAUUGGACAAUAUAUACAGUAAGUUUCCCUUUCUCCUCUGUAUGAUGUAACGUUUAUUUCCCCCUAUUGAUGGGGUCUUUCAUACAGGAACAGAGGAAAGAAAAAGAUGUUAAAUAUUUUUUAACUCCCCUCCCUACAGACACUGGCAGUGAGAUAAAUCCAUACAGAAAAGCUACCUAGAUUUCAAAGUGAUCACAGUCCUAGAUCACUCUCUAUCAAGUGCUUGAUUUACAGAGACAAGGUGAGUGAGAUAAUGACCAACUUCUUGGGGAGAGAGACAAGCUUUUGAGCUGCACAGAGCUCUUAAAGUCUGCUCUGAAGAGCUCUGUGAAAGCUUGUCUGUUUCACCAACAGAUAUUGAUCCACUAAAAGGUAUCACCUCACCUGCCUUGUCUCUCUACUAUCCUAGCACUGACAUGGCUACAAUUACAUUGCAAACAAGUGCUUGAUUUGUCAAUCUUAUCAUUGCAUUAAGUCAUGGGAAGGGAUAUAUGAGAGGACAGAACAGAGAGCCGCUGCGCAGAUGGCUUUGGCCUCCUACAGAUCCCGAGGUAAUCUACCAGGUUGGGGAAUGGGGCCCACUGGAUGGGAUGGUGAUCUCCACAAAGGGAUCCUCAAGAGUUCCUUCCCUGUGGCUCAUUUGUUGCUCUUUCUCUGUAAGAGGGCUAAGCUGACUUUAUAGUCAAAGUACUGUACAAAUGAAAUAACUACCCCCCUGCCACACCCUUACUUGCUCUUAAUAUGUACUGUACUAGGCGCCUUGAGAAAUGUAGUGUUGUUCUGCUCUGAUUGUUCUCACAAGCUGUACAUUUGAAAUAGGUUGUUCUUUUUACAAUUAUGCUGCGAUGAAUGAUUUAGAAAAAAUAUUGCAAUAAGUACAUUUCUUGUAAAAGGAUAUGAGAUAUUUUUGAAACUAAAACCCCAUGAAACAUUCUUGUUGAGAAGUUUUUCUCCAUUUUUUAAAUUGCCUGAUAAAACAAGGUGAAAAUAAGCAAUAAAAACUGGCAAAAACGUAGAGCAGACCCAUGAAAUCCUAACCAUAAUUAUCUUCAAUGAAUUGAAAUCAAGGGGUUAAACAAGGCCAGUAUGCCAAAGUAAUUUGUGGAUAGGGGUCUUAAGUAGGGCUGUCAAGCAAUAAAAAAAAUUAAUCAUGAUUAAUUGCACUGUUAAACAAUAAUAGAAUACCAUUUAUUUAAAUAUUUUUGGAUGUUUUCUACAUUUUCAAAUAUACUGAUUUCAGUUACAACACAGAAUACAAAGUGUAGAAUACUCACUUUAUAUUUUUAUUACAAAUAUUUGCACUGUAAAAAACAAAACAAAUAGUAUUUUUCAAUUCCUCUAUGGCAAGUACUGUAGUGCAAUCUCUUGAUCAUGAAAGUUGAAUUUACAAAUGUAGAAAUAUGUAAAAAAAAACCUGCAUUCAAAAAUAAAACAAUGUAAAAUUUAGAGCCUACAAGUCCACUCAUGGUCCAGUGCUGGAGCUAUCUUUAGAAAUCUCACAUUGGUACUUUCUUUGCAUUUUGUCAAAUCUGCAGUGAAAGUGUUCUUAAAAAACCCCAGCAUGUGCUGGGUCAUCAUCCGAGACUUCUAUAACAUGAAAUAUAUGGUAGAAGGCAGGUAAACCAGAGCAGGAGACAUACAAUUGUCCCACAAGGAAUUAAGUCACAAAUUUAAUUAAAACAUUAUUUUUUAAAUGAGCAUCAUUAGCAUGGAAGCAUGUCCUCUGGAAUGGUGGCUGAAGCAUGUAGGGGCAUAAGAAUGUUUAGCAUAUCUGGCACAUAAAUACCUUGCAAUGCCGGUUACAAAAGUGCCAUGCAUGCGCCUGCUCCACUUUCAGGUGACAUUGUAAAUAAUAAGCCAGCAGUAUUAUCUCCCGUAAAUGUAAUAAACUUGUUUGUCUUAGCGAUUGGCUGAACAAGAGGUAGGACUGAAUGGACUUGUAAGUUCUAAAGUUUUACAUUGUUUUGGUUUUUAGUGCAGUUAUGUAACCAAAAUAAAUCUACAUUUGUAAGUUGCACUUUCACGAGAAAGAGAUUGAACUACACUACUUGUAUAAGGUGAAUUGAAAAAUACUAUUUCUUUUGUUUAUAAUUUUUAAAUAUUUGUAAUAAAAAUAAUAUAAAGUGAGCACUGUACACUUUGUAUUCUGUGUUGUAACUGAAAUCAAUAUAUUUGAAAAGGGAGAAAAACAUCCAAAAUAUUAUAAUAAAUUUCACUUGGUAUUCUAUUGCUUAACAUUGCGAUUAAAACUGUGAUUAAUCAUGAUAUAUUUUUUUAAUCACAAUCAAUUUUUUUGAGUUUAUUGCAUGAAUUAACUGCAAUUAAUAAGCCAGAAAGCCAGAGUCUAAAUAAAAUGUAGUCCUAUGUGGAUAAAUACUUCACAAACAAUGUUGUUGAGAUUGGAAUAACUCAGCAGACACAACUGACCAUUUCGGGCAGUAAUGGUUAAGUAUUAUUUGGGUGAGAGACAGCUGUAGAAUUAGGUGUAUGACACGUGUAGCUACAAACCAAAGUUACUGGGUCAGACCAACAGAACUAAAAAUUAAAUAUUUAGACUUGUUUGGGAAGCUCAGAUUAUCCAUUUAAAUUGCAUGUUGACUUUGACGUAAAACUGGCAGCAUGCAGGGCAUGCAGUUUUCCAUUCACACUGCAGAAAGCAUCAGAAGAAAGGAGAGGCAAGAAUGGUUUGAUGUGAUAGAAAAGGUUGAAGGCCUCAGUCCCUUGGGAUGGUCCCUGAGAAGUCAGUAGAUAUUAGAACUCUGGUAGAUAUGGGGAUAGCACUGUUUAUUCACAGCACAACCAUUUUAAGGGCCAACUGUUGUCCCUGUUGUACAACCCAAGUAGGCAGACUGUCGACUAGAGAAUCCUGUAGUUCUCCAUGUGACAGAGCAGCAGCAGAAUCAUGUCCCCUACUGCAGCCUCAGGAGUGGAUUAUCCCGCAGUUGUCAUAGGCUCACUCCAUGGAUGACAACGACUAAGCAGUGGUCCUCAAACUAUUGUACUUGUGACCCCCUUUCACAUAGCAAGCCUCUGAGUGUGAUCCCCCUUAUAAAUUAAAAACACUUGUUUUUAUAUUUAACAUCAUUAUAAACGCUGGAGGCAAAGCGGGGUUUGGGGUGGAGGCUGACAGCUCGCGAACUCCCAUGUAAUAACCUCGCGACCCCCUGAGGGGUCCCGACCCCCAGUUUGAGAACCCCUGGACUAAAAAAUCCAAACUAAAAAUGGAUCCUCUGGCUCCCCUUCCAGUCAUCCUGCAUAUUGAGUCACAGGGAUUUCCCACGAAGCUCUCCUCAACAUCCACCUGUCACGGGCUCUGAAAACCUACCCACUGUGUGGAAGGACCACAUCACAUGCACUGAAGUCAAAGCUCUCGGUGCUGGCUGGGAGUAUAGGGUUAUCAGACUUUACGACUAACUAAUUUAGAUGUGAGGUAGUGAGGUUAGAAAUAGGUCUGAGAUCAGAAACAAACUUUAUUAUACUGGAAUUAAGAUGAGAGCACAUAACAGUAACUGUAGUAUGUCUUGACGCUGUCCAUUGCUCUAAAACAGUGAUUCUCAAACUUUUUUUUCACAGACCACUUGAAAAUUGCUGAGGGUCUUGCCAGACCACUUAAUGAUCUUUCCAAAUGUUGUUUGUACCAUUAGUAACUAUUGUAAAGCACUUUGGAUAAAAGUGCUAGAUAAAAACCUUAAUAAUUAAAUUUUUUGUUCUACAAAUAAAAGCACACAACUCAUAUUUUAAUAA